AACGAACGCUGGCGGUAUGCCUAACACAUGCAAGUCGAACGAGACCUCCGGGUCUAGUGGCGCACGGGUGCGUAACGCGGGGGAAGCUGCCCUUAGGUUCGGAAUAACUCCCCGAAAGGGGUGCUAAUACCGGAAAAUGUAUUCGGACAAAAGAUUUAUCGCCUUUGGAUGGGCCCGCGUUGGUUUAGCUAGUUGGUAGGGUAAAAGCCUAUCAAGGCGUCGAUCCAUAGCUGGUCUGAGAGGAUGAGCAGCCACACUGGGACUGAGCCACGGCCCAGACUCCUACGGGAGGCAGCAGUGGGGAAUAUAGGACAAUGGGCUAAAUCCUGAUCCAGCAAUGCCGCGUGAGUGAUGAAGGCCUUAGAGUUGUAAAGCUCUUUUACCCGGGAUGAUAAUGACAGUACCGGGAGAAUAAGCACCGGCUAACUCCGUG
rnacentral:rRNA from 1 species